CGGAGAAUGCAGUGGGAUCAGAACCCUAGAGUGGGCAUGAAGAGGAGAAAAAACAAAUUCUGAAAUCACCAUGGAAACACUACAGAGAUAACCUUCAUAUUCUGGGCAUCAGCACAAUCCUCCAAAUCCCUUUUGAAAACAAAUGCAUCCUUAUUGCUACGGCAGCCACUUAAUCUAGACACAAAUACAGCUAUAUUAGGUGCACUGUAAUGAAAAGUGAGGAAAGGAGAGUAGAGGAGGAGGAGGAGAGAUAAAAUAUUUUAGAGAACAUUUAUAAACAUUCCUUGUAAAGUUGAUAAACAAUCUUUGAAAGACACAGAAUCCAAAAUACAUACGAAGAUUAUGUGGAUUACAAAAGAAAGCACUGCUCAACUUGACCCUAUCAGCUUUACCUGACUUCCUGGGAGGUACAGAACAAGAAUCUUCAAGAGAGAAAAAUGACAUUCAACCAAGCAAAUCUAAUGCAAGUGGGUUAUGAACACAGUUAUCAAAAUCAACCCAAGUAAUUGUGAGGAAAUUUACAACUGUAUGUGAAGAAACCAGAGAAGAUGAAGACAAACCGCACAUGCUUCCUUAAAACAAAAUCUACAUCCAGCUUCAAUAAAAAGAUAGGUGUUUCCACACACACACACAAAAGUUCCAAAAUAGCUCAUCAAAAGUACUGAACCAGACAUAUGAAGACUUGAAGAUAAAGGAGUCAGAGAAAAAUAAGGAAUUAGCUUAUAACUGUAUCUUCUCAUCAGUCCUCCAACUAGUACAAUUAGGAAAAGCAGGCAGCAGGUAGAAAUAUCUGUACAUAAAAAUAAUUGCUACAUAACAAAGAUACUGUCACAAGACUAAGGAUUUCUUUAUUAUACCUUUUUUUUUUUUUUUGAGAUGGAGUUUUGCUCUUUUUGCCCAGGCUAGAGUGCA
rnacentral:lncRNA from 1 species